rnacentral:sRNA from 1 species
UUAUAUUUUUAAAGAAUUUUUCGUUAUUAUAACUAUACCCCAUUGUUAGGAUAAUCAUUUCUGCUGCUUCUUCAUUGCUUUCAUUAAUGAGCUUUAUCAUAUUCCUUUGUUAAUUGACAGUGACUGUUGAAAACAGACAAGAGAUUUUCUUUCAAAAUGUCUAUUUGAUUAAAGUGACAGCCAGCCGGGAAUCCGAAAAACGAAGGGAUGGAAGUGUGUGGCGAAGCAUUUGUCUUUCAAUUGUUUUAAUCAUUGUUAAAUGAAUUUCUUAACUUUGUGGGGAUUUUGGGAAAUUCUAAGAAGAAUUCUUGAUGGGUAUCAAUUU